AUUGAACGCUGGCGGCAGGCCUAACACAUGCAAGUCGAACGAGUGGCGGACGGGUGAGUAAUGUCUGGGAAACUGCCUGAUGGAGGGGGAUAACUACUGGAAACGGUAGCUAAUACCGCAUACCAUCAGAUGUGCCCAGAUGGGAUUAGCUUGUUGGUGGGGUAACGGCUCACCAAGGCGACGAUCCCUAGCUGGUCUGAGCGGAUGACCUGCCAACCUGUACCUGUGCCACGUCCCGGACUCCAACGGGAGGCAGCAGUGGGGAUGAUGGCACAAUGGGCGCAAGCCUGAUGCAGCCAUGCCGCGUGUAUGAAGAAGGCCUUCGGGUUGUAAAGUACUUUCAGCGGGGAGGCGUUACCCGCAGAAGAAGCACCGGCUAACUCCGUGCCAGCCGCCGCGGUAAUU
rnacentral:rRNA from 1 species